ensembl:lncRNA
GUUUCCCUUCCCGGCUGCUGCUGAUCCCUUCCUAUUCCGGAGUCACACAGCCCAGCAGUGCCCCCGAGCAGCGAUGGGUCCCAAGGACCACUUGGGAUGGUCAUGCAGAUGCUGGUGCUGCUGCAGCACAGCCUGUUUGCAGUCGUGCUGCGGUCCCGGCGGCUGCAGAAGAUCUGCCGGAGGUUGGGGAAGAAGAGGAGAGUGCCGAGCGCCAGGAGGAAGAAGGGGAGAGUUGCUUGCGGGAAGGACGGAGCAGCAGGGAUGCCGUCGCCGACCUGGGAGUUGCGGACGAGCCCACGGGAAAGGAGCAGGAAGCCACCCCGCGCCCCGCUGGCAUCCAUGCUGUCCCUGGGCUCCCUUGAUGAAUCUUCUUCCUCCUCCGGUUCCUCCCUCUACUCCUUCCCAGAGCCCUGGCCCAUUGCACUGUCAGAGUUGGCUGCCCUGCCCCCUCGGGCCACCCCAGAGCCACGCGAGCCACAACCAGAGCCAGGGCCACAGCAAGAACCAGAGCCAGAGCCAGAGGAAGAGCUGGAGCCUGAUCCAGAGUCAGAGCCAGAGUCAGAGGCAGAGUCAGAGGCAGAGGCAGAGCCAGAGGAAGAGCUGGAGCCACAACCAGAGUCAGAGGCAGCGUCAGAGGAAGAGCCAGAGGAAGAGCCUGAGGCUGAGCCAUCCCUGUGCCCCAGCUCGGAGUCCCCGGCUCUGCUGCCAGCAGCCCCCAGCACCCCCUAUUCCCUGCGGAUGACUGAGCAGAGCGAUGGAGCGCAGAGCCCCAUGGAGCCCUCCCCGCCCCACUGCUCCCACACGGAGCUCAUCCAGGAGCUGAUCUGUGCCAUCCGUGGGAACCACGCAGCCGUUGAGCGCCGCUGCCAACUGCUGCGGGCAGUGCUGGAGCGGCAGAGGGCAGCCGGGACGCCCAGAGAGCCCUUUCACGACCCCCCAGCCCAGAAGCCCCCCACCCAGGAGCCCCCGGCCCAGGAGCCCCCCAGUCUCCAUCUGCUUGUUCAGAUUAAUGUCCUUAGUACGGGGAUGUGGCCGCUACUGAAGAGGGCCACCGACAUGGAUAUGAACAAUCACAAGGACACGGACAUGGACACGGAUGCGGACAUGAACCUGGACACAGAUGAGCACCCAGAAGUGGGAGCAGACGGGAGCGCCCCACAGGAUCUGGACCAGAGCGUGCUGAUGGACCCAGGCAGGAUCAGCCCGAUGGAUCCACGCCGAAACAUCCCCAUGGAUCCAUGCAGGGCCAUCCCGGCAGAUGCAGGCAGGACCAACCCUACGGGGUGCCUCUGGGGUCCCAAGGGCACGGCCCAUCUGCGGGUGACCCCGGGGCUGUGCCGGGCCAGGCAGUGCCUGCAGCACAGCUUCCCCAGGCUGUGGCAGUGGGUGCAGGAGCGCUGGAGGCACUGCCGUGCACAGCCCUUUUGGCAGCGCUGGUCCUCCGUGGGGAGGAAGACUCCCUGAGCCCGAGUGUGGGGCCCGGCAAUGCCACAGCCCCACCGCGCUCCCUCCGGCUCAGACCGCUGAAGGGUUUCCCUUCCCGGCUGCUGCUGAUCCCUUCCUAUCCCGGGGUCACACAGCCCAGCAGUGCCCCC